CACGUAGGGGACGAGCGUUGUUCGGAUUCACUGGGCGUAAAGCGCGCGUAGGCGGCUCGGUAAGUCGGUCGUGAAAUGCCGGGGCUCAACCCCGGGACUGCGUCCGAUACUUCCGGGCUGGAGGUAGGUAGGGGAGAUCGGAAUUCCUGGUGUAGCGGUGAAAUGCGCAGAUAUCAGGAGGAACACCGGUGGCGAAGGCGGAUCUCUGGACCUUACCUGACGCUGAGGCGCGAAAGCUAGGGGAGCGAACAGG
rnacentral:rRNA from 1 species